GUAUAGUAGGUUAGUUGAAUUCCUGUAAAAAAUGGAUAUCUGUUAGUGAAUUGGUUAUGAUUUUGUUAGCACUAAUUUUUUGUCAUCAGCUGUUAUAUUAUGAAUUUUAGAGGAAAGCAGUUAGAGUUAUUAGUAGAUUUUCUGUCAUGAAAUUAUGUUAGCUAAUUUGAAUGAGUAGUCAUCAGUUAGAUGGAUGUUAAAUGGUUUUAUUCUGCUAGGCAAUUAGGGUCAAUGAAAUGAGGUUGGCAUUGGCUUGUUAGAACUACCUUCUAUUAUGUGAGUGUAUUGUUGUUGAUGAAUGUUAUGCUUGUGAAAUGAAAUGGCUACUGAUGGGGCAUUUCUUGAUGUUGAUAUGCAUUUUCUUGUAUUGGACUGUUUUGAUUUUUGUUAGGAAUUAUGAAAUGCCCUGUUGUGUUUGAUGUUGCUCUGUUGAACUGAUGUAAGUUUGGACUGGUUUUUUUUUGCAGGAUACUUGGCAGAAUGGGGGAUUGAACAAAGGCCUACAAAGAUGCUACCCAUGUGCCUUGCAUUUUAAGAAACAAUGUGAAGAUGAAGAGGAAUUGCUUAGCACGGUGAAGAUGAAGAGAAAUAAGUCCAGGAGUUAGGUCUAGGGUUUAGUCCGUUGACCAAAAAGUCAGUGGUUGGCCAAAGUCAACUGUAGGUCAAAGUCAAAAAAUUUGUAAUGAUUUGAUUUUAUGUAAAGACUUGUUAUGUAAUGCAAUGGAUUUUGAAAUGUAAUGCAAUGGAUCCUUAACUAAAAAUGACUUGAAUUUGAAUACACUAAAAUGGGGUAUGACAAUAAUGAAACACCAUAUUCAUUUUCAAUGCAAAGUCUUUAAAUUCGUUUUGCUUUGUCUUGCCA
rnacentral:lncRNA from 1 species